GAUGAACGCUGGCGGCGUGCCUAAUACAUGCAAGUCGAGCGAACAGACGAGGAGCUUGCUCCUCUGACGUUAGCGGCGGACGGGUGAGUAAAACGUGGAUAACCUACCUAUAAGACUGGGAUAACUUCGGGAAACCGGAGCUAAUACCGGAUAAUAUAUUGAACCGCAUGGUUCAAUAGUGAAAGACGGUUUUGCCGUCACUUAUAGAUGGAUCCGCGCCGCAUUAGCUAGUUGGUAAGGUAACGGCUUACCAAGGCAACGAUGCGUAGCCGACCUGAGAGGGCGAUCGGCCACACUGGAACUGAGACACGGUCCAGACUCCUACGGGAGGCAGCAGUAGGGAAUCUUCCGCAAUGGGCGAAAGCUUGACGGAGCAACGCCGCGUGAGUGAUGAAGGUCUUCGGAUCGUAAAACUCUGUUAUUAGGGAAGAACAAAUGUGUAAGUAACUAUGCACGUCUUGACGGUACCUAAUCAGAAAGCCACGGCUAACUACGUG
rnacentral:rRNA from 1 species